rnacentral:lncRNA from 1 species
GCAAGUUGACCAAAAUUGAGAGUAUGAUAGAAAAAGGCUUGCUCUUCCUUCCGUAGAAGAAAGAAUUCAAAAUCGGACCAUGUUAACACCAAAAAUUAUUUACAUCAAAAAGGUGCUUUUUUUCUAUGAAAAUCCCUAUUUUUUACGAUUUUUUGACUGCUGUGUCUCCAUUUUUCGGUGUAUUUCAACCAGUAAAAUGUUCACCUAAAGAGAAUAACAAGCUACAUAAUGCAAAAUUUUUACUUUUCAAAAAUUCCAAUUCUAAAGGGGCGAAACAAACCCGAGCAACGCCGGGCGAUACUGUUAGUUAUCAAUAAGGAAAGAAAGACAUCCUUGCUCCAAAUUUUUCAGGAACAUAUCUAGAACUACAUAAUCCUUUGAUGAAAAGGCAUUCUUGCUUCAUCAUUUUUAGAAGUGUGUCUGUCUAAGACUACAUUAUCCAAUAUCCUUCCCCCCACUCUCAUAUAAUAUGGUAGAGUGCGAUUUGGAUAAGAUUUUGCUGCUAUUUCUAGCAAAUCGAACGACCACGUAUAGGCUCACUUGUUGGCUCCUGUAUACAAGUGGGACAGUUAUUCAAAACAGAAUGAAAUAGACCCACUGCGUGGCACUUUGAGCAAGUGUCUUCUACUAUAGCCCCGGGCCGACCAAAGUCUUGUGAGUGGAUUUGGUAGACGGAAACUGAAAGAAGCCCAUCGUAUAUAUGUAUAUAUAUAUAUAUGCAUGUGUGUGUCUGUGUUUGUCCCCCUAGCAUUGCUUGACAACCGAUGCUGGUGUGUUUAUGUCCCCAUUACUUAGCGGUUCGGCAAAAAGAGACCGAUAGAAUAAGUACUGGGCUUACAAAAGAAUAAGUCCCGGGGGUCGAGUUGCUCGAUUAAAUGCGGUGCUCCAUCAUGGCCGCAGUCAAAUGACUGAAACAAGUAAAAGAGUAAAGAGAGUAUGUGUGUGUAUAUAUGUUUUUGCAGCUGUGUUUGUUCCCCCAACAUCACUUGACAACCGAUGCUGGUGUGUUUACGUCCCCGUAACUUAGCAGUUCAAUAUGCCAAAGAAAGGCAAAAAAUGGUUAAAGGUAACUUGUAUUAAUCCUGUAAUGCCUGAAUAAAUUAAGUGUUAAGAUAUUUCUUCGUGUUUCUCAAUCCCUGAAAAGUGUAUACAUUUUUGAGGAGGACUCUGUAUAUGUUGUGUGAGUGUAUAUCUGUGUGUUUCUGUUGUCUUGAUAGAUAGAUAGAUAGAUAGAUAAAGAUAGAUAGAUGAUAGAACACCGAAGGCCAAACAUAUACAGACGCACAAACAUAUACAACACACAUACAUAUAUAUAUACAUAUAUACGAUGGGCUUCUUUCAGUUUCUGUCUACCAAAUCCACUUACAAGACUUUCGUCGGCCCGAGGCUAUAGUAGAAGACACUUGCCCAAAGUGCCACGCAGUGGGUCUAUUUCAUUCUGUUUUGAAUAACUGUUUGUCUUGAUUUCAUAUGACAGUUGUAGGCGAGAGUCAAUAUCAUACAAGCAGUAUCCUUGGUUUCCAGUCUUCUGUGAAGAUAUACCUGGCCAUGGAGAAAUAUUGCCUAGCUUGGAAAUACAUAAGGCAAUGGGAAGGGCAUCUAGGCAUAGAAAAUCUGCCCCAGUAAAUUCCAUCUAAUUCAUGUGAAUUGGGAAAUUCAGACAUUAAAGCAAUGGUGAUAAUGAUGAUCACACACACAUAUAUAUAUAACAGGCUCUUUUCAGUUUCUGUCUACCAAAACCACUCACAAGGUUUGGGAGUAGGGUAGAUGGAAUAGUAGAAGACACUUACCUAAGGAGCAAGGAGUCACACAGUGGGACUGAACCCAAGGACAUGUAGUUGGGAAGCGAACUUCUUAACCAUAGGCACAGGAGUGGCUGUGUGGUAAGUAGCUUGCUUAUCAGCCAACUACAUGGUUCCGGGCUCAGUCCCACUGCAUGGCACCUUGGGCAAGUGGCUUCUACUAUAGUCUCAGGCCGACCAAAACCUUGUGAGUGGAUUUGGUUGAUGGAAACUGAAAGAAGCCCAUCGUGUGUGUGUAUAUAUAUAUAUAUAUAUAUAUAUAUGUAUGUAUGUGUGUGUAUAUGUUUGUAUGUCUGUGUUUGUCCCCCUAACAUCACUUGACAGCCGACGCUGGUGUGUUUACGUCCCCGUCACUUAGCAGUUCGGCAAGAGAGACCAAUAGAUAAAGUACUAGGCUUACAAAGAAUAAGUUCUGGGGUCGAUUUGCUCGACUAAAGGUGGUGCUCCAGCAUGGCCACAGUCAAAAAUGACUGAAACAAAUAAAAGGGAAAAAAAACGUAAAUUUAACUUCUUCUUUUCUUUCUACUUUCAGAUUCUGUACAGCUCUGUAAAGAUAACCAUACAUAGAACAUGUGGCUUAGCUGAGAUUUGAUCCAUUUCCACUGGUCUUGUGUCUCAGUUGUUAUCGACUAAGAUAUGCUGCCACAUUAGCCUGGUCAUUGUCAUUGGUUAAUUCCAGGUGAGCCCUGACCAAACAAAUCUAGCAUCAAAGGUAUUUCAUACCAGCUAUGACUAUCCUGUUCUUCACUCUGGCAGUAUGAUUUGAGGGAUAUUUGGCUGUUAUUUUGUUUUAAAAAUAUAAGAUUGUUGAAGUCUCAAAGUAUCAAAU